rnacentral:misc_RNA from 1 species
UAGCUGCGUUAAAUAGCGCGAAUUGCAGACACAUUGAGCGCUAAAAUUUCGAACGCACAUUGCGCCAUCGGGUUCAUUCCCGUUGGCAUGCCUGUCCGAGGGUCGGAUACCCUAUGUUACCGAUUACGCGCAUUUCGCUAGGAUGUUGGCGCAGAGGUCGUAUGUUUGUGCCAAGUCCCUAGCGGACGUGUCGCGGUGUCGGUUGGUCGGAGCGCUACUACGAGACUGGUACCGCUCUUAGAUGAACACAGUUCUUCGGAACUUGCGCGCUUUCAGCGCAUCGCUUCGACGUUUAGGCGGCUUCGGCCGGUUCGCGCCGCUCGCUAAGUUAGCACGAACCAGCGCCCUAAAUCCGCCGUCGAGCGAACUUCAUCAAUUGACCUCGGAUCAGACAUGACUA